UUGAGCAAGUCCUUCAUUCAUCCCAAGCUUCGUCUCAAAGUUUGUAGUAGCGCUUGGUGUCGUGAUGACGAGGAGCACUUACCUUGUUGUGGCCCUCCUGGCCUCGGUGCUUCUGGUGGUGAGCUUCUGCAAUGCCCAAUUCCAAGAGAACCCUGGCCUCCUGCUGCCGAGCCAAGGGGAUGGAAUGGAGGUAGGGAAGAAGAAGCCAUGGCCGUGCUGUGACAUGUGCAUAUGCACCAGGUCGAUGCCGCCGCAGUGCCAGUGCUAUGACGUGUUGGUGGGCGGCUGCCACCGCAACUGCAAGAGCUGCUUCUGCACCAGGUCGAAUCCGCCCUCAUGCCGCUGCACGGACGUCAUCUACGAAGACUGCGGCAAGCGCUGCCACCCGUAGGCGUAGCCCCGCCAUCCGCUGCCGAGUUGCGUGCGUGAUGGAUGCAUCACGGAUUCGCCCAAAUAAGAGCCGCAAAUGUCACCACCUUACAUAUCUCCUAUGCAACGCUUGUCAUAACCUUAUCAGUAGCGAACUUGAACCUCUCGAACCUCUCGAGCCACAGUGUUACGAAAAUGUAAUCGGCUCAUCUUUGAAUAAAUGCAAAUCGCAGCGUCAAUCAUUAGUGA